GCUCUGAGCGUGACCUUGCUUGGAACCAGCACCAUUAUUGCCGUUCAUCACAGACAGUAGCACUGAGCCCGGAAGAGGGGAGAGUGCUUUCAGUCUGCAGGUCGCAUCAUUGAACUUAACCCUUCUCCUCACAGAUCUCCAGUGGUUGGGCAUCUUUCCCUCCAGCCUCAAAUGAGAAAACCAAACCCCACAAAGCAUUACUGCCCAGGAUCACGCAGUGUUCAAAUGUACCAGACCCCAAGCUCAGCGCUCUCCCCUGGAGCAGGCCAACUGCAUGAUGGUCCUCUCAAAAUACUACACCUGAGUGUGUGGAUUUAAAGAGGAUUACACGCAGAUCCAGUGAAAGACUGACUGACAGCUAAGGUUUCUUUUCCCUACAGGUUCAAAUACUGAAUUUUCAUCAAGUUCAAACAAUUUGGACAAAGGUUUGGCUAAAUUAUUUGGUUAUCCUCAACAAAAGAGCUUGAGAGAUGCCGAGUUUGCAUCAGGUUCAAAUAAGCGAGAAGAACAUUUGGCUCGACUGUUUGAUGAAAUUCUACUGCGAGGGUUUUCCAAAGUUCCAUAUGAAGCACUGUUUGAUGAAACAAAGACAGCAGAUGAAUCAAUUACAGAGAGAGACGUGAAAGAAAGCAAGUAUUGUCUUUCAAUCUCUAAGGGCACGUUUUCCUAUAGGCUGAGGGGCUGUAUUAUAUGUGCCAUGCUAUCACUUCACCAUUCUUUAAAACAGCUACUUGUGCAGCAAAGACAGAUUGAGAUGUGAAGGAAAGAAUUGUCUGAAAUCCUAUCACCUCCAAGAUAAAAGUGUGACUAUCCCUCUGUUUUGGGGAGAUCCCUCAAGUUCAUGUGUCAGGCAGAUUCUUACCUUCUGGAGGCUAUUCAGAGGAUGGGAACUAGAAUUCCAAGCGGUGUUCACCGUUCUUGACACCAGGAGCCCUGACUGGUGUAAUAACUCCCGCUGGACACUCUUACACUUCCACGUGUAUGACCUGGUUUGAGGCUAAUCUCAGCUCUAGGUGAGAGCCGGUGCAGUCCUUAGUACCUCAUUCCAUGGAUAAGAACAAGGCCAAAAAAAAAAUCACUUGUCCUGGGCACACCUGUUGAAAUAACAAAAGUGAUGAAUAUACUUUUCCUUUUAAAGCAGCUUCAUAUUAUUAUUUUUUUAAGUAACACUUUGAGAAUUAAGACAGGUAUUUGAUCCAAGGUCAUAAGGAUAGAAUUGUGUAUCAGAAAGUUCCAGCAGUGCAAGGAAGUGCCCUGUUCUGGAAAUUUGCAUACAAAUGUGAAUUUCCAUUCCUUUCCCACAGCCUCUGCCUGGGCUUCUGCCUCUGUAAUCAGCCAUCAACUGGUGCCACUCUCUACAAUGACAUACAAACUUUCAAGUACUCAUUUCCAAGUACAAGCUGAAUUCUGUAUUAGCAUUUAACCACUUUAAAAAAUAGACCCAAGGUGCUUGUGUGUACUGAUAAAAACUUUUUCAUUAUUUUUAUGUGUUUCAUCAUCAAAGAAGCCGAUGUUGAUGGAAAUUCUCCUGAAUCAGAAUUUUCCCUUGGCAGCGUGGACAGAAUUUCCAACAAUGGUCACAGUUCAGAGGAGAAGAGGGAUAAAGAAUCUUCUCUGUUCAACAGGGAUGCAAGUGACAAGCAGUUAACCACCGUAGGUAAAGGAGCACUUCAAGAAGCAAUCAGUCCAGCUGUUCCAAAUAGGAGUGUGCCCUGCGCGCAGCUUCUGCAUUUCCUCCAGCGGAACAUCAUCAUCGCCGCCGUCUCGGUGGCGGGAAUCCUCGUGGCCACAGUGUUGCUGCUGUUGGUGUUGAUCACAUACAUCAGGAGGAAGCAGCCAUUACACCCUCCGGCAGACACGACCUAUAAUAUUUUUAUAAUGAAUGGAAAGACUUGGUGGCAGACAUCUCAAGAAAAGAACGCCAGAAAACAUUCUGGAAAACAGAAACCGUUGAAGGGUAAUUCCUGUGUCUAGGCCAGGUGGUGGGGCCAGCCAGCCAGCACCGCAAGCUGUGAUGUGAGGCGAUUCUCCAUCCAAACGCUGUGCAGAGGCAACUGGAUUUCUAGCUGUGAGGUGCACCUUACAAAACGCGUACCUUUUCCUCUCAAUUUUGAAUGGACCAAGAAAACAGUGUUUGACCACAGCAUGCUCAUGGUGGUCAUGGCAUUAAUGACUAGUGCAGGAGACUUAGCACAUUUCCUCAGAGACUGACCUGACUGACUGUGGAUUUAUUUAUUUAUUAAAGCAUUGAUUCGUUUUUUACAGCUAUUCAA